rnacentral:misc_RNA from 1 species
AUGAUGAUCACUCAUCUAAUGCUCCUUGAUUUGAUAGAGUACAGGUGCCAACUUCCAAGACUUCUGCGAAGAGAGCAUUUCAGGGCUUUUCCAACAGUAGAACAAUAGUAAUGUCUGCAGCAGAUGUGGAUGAAUGAUUUUUUUUUAUCAUGUAGACUUCAAAAAUUUUGACUGUUUCAUAUGUUUUUCUGUUGAAAUCGAGUCUAGAAGUCAUUAUUACAGGAACCCUAUGGACUUCAAUUUUGGAUUGAAACAACAUUAAUAGUUUACAUGGAAUUGAGUAAAAAUGUGUGGAUUUGUGGCCUGCUUAGGAGACAAAGGGUGAAGCAGACACUCAUUUGUGCUUAUGUGAGUAAAUUUGUGUGAGGAUUGUUGAUUAGGG